rnacentral:rRNA from 1 species
GACGAACGCUGGCGGCGUGCCUAAUACAUGCAAGUAGAACGCUGAAGGAGGAGCUUGCUUCUCUGGAUGAGUUGCGAACGGGUGAGUAACGCGUAGGUAACCUGCCUGGUAGCGGGGGAUAACUAUUGGAAACGAUAGCUAAUACCGCAUAAGAGUAGAUGUUGCAUGACAUUUGCUUAAAAGGUGCAAUUGCAUCACUACCAGAUGGACCUGCGUUGUAUUAGCUAGUUGGUGGGGUAACGGCUCACCAAGGCGACGAUACAUAGCCGACCUGAGAGGGUCAUCGGCCACACUGGGACUGAGACACGGCCCAGACUCCUACGGGAGGCAGCAGUAGGGAAUCUUCGGCAAUGGACGGAAGUCUGACCGAGCAACGCCGCGUGAGUGAAGAAGGUUUUCGGAUCGUAAAGCUCUGUUGUAAGAGAAGAACGAGUGUGAGAGUGGAAAGUUCACACUGUGACGGUAUCUUACCAGAAAGGGACGGCUAACUACGU